rnacentral:rRNA from 1 species
GACGAACGCUGGCGGCGUGCUUAACACAUGCAAGUCGAACGGAAAGGCCCUGCUUUUGUGGGGUGCUCGAGUGGCGAACGGGUGAGUAACACGUGAGUAACCUGCCCUUGACUUUGGGAUAACUUCAGGAAACUGGGGCUAAUACCGGAUAGGAGCUCCUGCUGCAUGGUGGGGGUUGGAAAGUUUCGGCGGUUGGGGAUGGACUCGCGGCUUAUCAGCUUGUUGGUGGGGUAGUGGCUUACCAAGGCUUUGACGGGUAGCCGGCCUGAGAGGGUGACCGGCCACAUUGGGACUGGGGUACGGCCCAGGCUCCUACGGGAGGCAGCAGUGGGGAAUAUUGCACAAUGGGCGGAAGCCUGAUGCAGCAACGCCGCGUGCGGGAUGACGGCCUUCGGGUUGUAAACCGCUUUCGCCUGUGACGAAGCGUGAGUGACGGUAAUGGGUAAAGAAGCACCGGCUAACUACGUG